rnacentral:rRNA from 1 species
CAGUAGCCGCGGUAAUACGUAGGGUGCGAGCGUUAAUCGGAAUUACUGGGCGUAAAGCGUGCGCAGGCGGUUCGUUAAGACAGAUGUGAAAUCCCCGGGCUUAACCUGGGAACUGCGUUUGUGACUGGCGAGCUAGAGUAUGGCAGAGGGGGGUAGAAUUCCACGUGUAGCAGUGAAAUGCGUAGAGAUGUGGAGGAAUACCGAUGGCGAAGGCAGCCCCCUGGGCCAAUACUGACGCUCAUGCACGAAAGCGUGGGGAGCAAACAGGAUUAGAUACCCCUGUAGUCCCUGUCUCUUAUAC